rnacentral:rRNA from 1 species
UACGGAGGGUGCGAGCGUUGUCCGGAAUCACUGGGCGUAAAGGGCGCGUAGGUGGCCUGUGGAAGUCUGCGGUGAAAGCCCGGCGCUCAACGCCGGGUCGGCCGUGGAUACUCUCGGGCUCGAGCUUACUAGAGGCAGAUGGAAUUCCGGGUGUAGCGGUGGAAUGCGUAGAGAUCGGGAGGAACAUCCGUGGCGAAGGCGACUACCUGGACCAGCACUGACACUGAGGCACGAAAGCGUGGGGAGCAAACAGG